AUUAGGACGCCAAUAACCCACUGAGGAAGAAGAGAUACCACCGACACACUCCACAACAAAUCCAAGAGCUUGAAUUUCUCCUCAAGGAGUGCCCUCAUCCCAAUGAGAAAUAAAGGCUAGAACUAAGCACGAGGCUUAACCUGGAAACCAGGCAAGUAAUGUUCUGGUUUCAGAACUGACGCACUCAGAUGAAGACCCAACUGGAAUGCCAUAAGAACUCAAUACUUAGGCAACAGAACAAUA